CAGAGAUAGCCCGGGCCGUUGCGGAGGCGAUAAGCCGGUUCAAACGUUGUAUUGUUUGCUUGGCGGAAGAGAAAAACUGUACUUUGGUCCCAUGUGGACACACGUUUUGCUCAUCAUGUGUAUCCAGAGAUAGCCCGGGCCGUUGCGGAGGCGAUAAGCCGGUUCAAACGUUGUAUUGUUUGCUUGGCGGAAGAGAAAAACUGUACUUUGGUCCCAUGUGGACACACGUUUUGCUCAUCAUGUGUAUCCAGGUUGAGCAAAUGUGCAGUGUGUAGGAGUGGAAUGACUGGGUGGAAUAAAUUUCAUUUUACAAAUUAAAAGAUGAAUUUGUAUUU